rnacentral:rRNA from 1 species
AUGAACGCUGGCGGCGUGGAUAAGGCAUGCAAGUCAAGGGGCCCGCAAGGGCACCGGCAAACGGGGUAGUAACAGGUGGGAACGUACCUAGAAGUCAUGAAUAACCAGUCGAAAGAUUGGCUAAUACAUGAUGGUCUCUUCGGAGUAAAGAUUUAUCGCUUCUAGAACGGCCUGCCUCGUAUCAGCUAGUUGGUAAGGUAAUGGCUUACCAAGGCUAUGACGCGUAGGGGAGGUGAGAGCCUGACCCCCACCACUGGAACUGCGAUACUGUCCAGACACCUACGGGUGGCUGCAGUCGAGAAUCUUCCGCAAUGCACGAAAGUGUGACGGAGCGACGCCGCGUGAUUGAUGAAGUCCUUCGGGACGUAAAGAUCUUUUAUGAGGGAAGAAGUUAUUGACGGUACCUCAUGAAUAAGGGGCUGCUAAUCUCGU